CGCUCAUCCAGAGGGGCAGAGGGAAACGGCCCGUUGAAGCCCCGGCAACCCUCCAGUCGGUCACUCGUCAUCCAGCGAGGUCCCCGGCUAGGGAAGGUGCCAAAUCCGUCUCAUGGCGAAAAAUUCGUCAUGGGAAAGAUGAGGA
rnacentral:ncRNA from 2 species